rnacentral:rRNA from 1 species
GGAUUAGAUACCCUGGUAGUCCACGCCGUAAACGAUGAGAACUAGCCGUUGGUUUCCUUAGAGAAAUUAGUGGCGCAGCUAACGCGAUAAGUUCUCCGCCUGGGGAGUACGGCCGCAAGGUUAAAACUCAAAUGAAUUGACGGGGGCCCGCACAAGCGGUGGAGCAUGUGGUUUAAUUCGAAGCAACGCGAAGAACCUUACCUGGCCUUGACAUCCAGAGAACUUGGUAGAGAUACCUUGGUGCCUUCGGGAGCUCUGAGACAGGUGCUGCAUGGCUGUCGUCAGCUCGUGUCG